UGGUGCCGGUGCUGGCCCAGGAGAUGGACUCAGUAAGGGAGAUCCAACAAUUUGAGCAUAGGCUGAUGAAGAGCAGAAAAGCACCAGAGCACAAAUAACCAUGAAAAUCCUAGCCAUUUUUUUUUUUUUUUUUUGUAUACAAAUUUAAUGUAUCUUUUACAGUGACCAGACUCUCCAAAUUCUUGCAAGAACCAAAACCCAUCCAUAGUUAGAUCCAAACCUG
rnacentral:lncRNA from 1 species